AUAAGACAUGUUUUCUUUGUUUAGUGUUGCCUGUGUUGUGUCCGAAAGUAGUGUUGUAGGUUUUAUUGCGCUGUGCCCGUAAUCAUUCAGUGACCGCCCUGUGCGUGUGUUGCCGCGUCAGGAAAGGAGUGUUGCGUCUCCAGGAGGGUCUUCCCCUUCCGAGUGGCGUCCGCGCUUGCUUCCUUCGUCAGGCACCUCCCGCCUCGCGCCUUCCUUCCUCCCGUCUCCUGGAGUGUACACACCUGCACUCUUGAGGCUGCUGGCGAGAGGAACUGUCGUUCCAAGCCCUCCACCAUGGCCGCCGCUCCGAAAGUUUGCGUCCGUCGCGCGAAGCUCAUCUUCCUGAUGGAGAACGCAGGCAAGGACGUCUUGCCCGCCACGCCGCCGGGCCAGUCCCUCAUUGACUAUCUUGACAACCUCCCUCAAGGCUCGACAGCCAACUAUGGCACGAUGAGUAACAAACAAAAGAAAACCGCACUGAACCACAGCUCAGUGCUGCUUAUCCUCUGACGUGACUACUUUAUUCAUUAUUUUUUGUAUCAUCAGCGAACUUAGAUACUUUACAGGUGAGGUCCUCAUCGAUAUCAUUAACGUAAAUAAGGAAAAGAACAGGGCCGAGCACAGAUCCCUAUGGUACACCACUUAAAACUUCUCGCCAGUUUGAAAAUUUACCAUUUAAAACAACGCGCUGCUUUCUCUCAGAAAGCCAGUCUUCAAGCCAAUUGAGAAGUUUUCCAUUUAUACCAUGUGACUUCAAUUUAGCUACUAGCCAGAACUUUGUCAAAAGCUUCUUGAAAAUCUAGAUACACUACAUCUACUGCCUUUGUUUCGUCGUAAAGAAACCAAGAAGAUUAGUUAGACAAGAACGUCUGUUUCGGAAGCCAUGCUGUGAGUCAUUGAUUAAAUCAUUUAUUUGUAGAUAGUUCACUAAAUUAUUGCAAAUUACUGUUUUCAUCAGUUUACAUACUACAGAUGUAAGGCUGAUAGGUCUGUAGUAGGGAGAAGAGGAGGAGGAGAAGGAGAAGGAGGAGGAGGAGGAGGAGGAGGAGGAGGAGGAGGAGGAGGAGGAGGAGGAAUAAGAGAACGAAGAGGAAAAGGAGAGCUAGAAGGAAGGCGAGAAAAGGAGGAGGAAGAGGAAGAUGAAGAGGAGGGGGAAGAAGAACAAAAAGACGAGGAAUAAGAGGAAGAUGAGGAGGGGGACGAAGAAGAACAGGAAGAAUAUACAAAUACAAAGGAAUACAAAGGAAAGACCAAGCAACAACAGACCCUGGGAUCCUUACUAGGUUGCUUGAUUAACUAUUCUAUACUAACUACAUAGUAUGAGAGACAGGAUAGUAAAGUAGAAGGCUCCUCCCCACCCACCCAUCCCACCAGCCGAAGCUGGCCGGAAAAUGGAAAUGUACCAUGUGGUAUUGAAAAACCACAUGGAAUUUCUAGGGACAGAGAAACGAAGUAUCAGUCUACGUCUACUUGUGUUUGUGAGGGGAGUGUGUAUAAGCUUGACGUUAAUGUAAUGAGGUGUGUUAAAUCUGAAAUAACCUCAAUAGUCUUAAUUUUGAGUGUUGUUCUAGUUUCUUAAGUCUCCCUCAAAAUGGACGGCCAAGCUCUCGUUUUCGUUUACUGUCACAUAGUCACGUUCCUAUAAUAUGCCAGUAUUUCCUGCUGCUGUGUUUCUAGUCCUAAAUAAGGGGCUUUAGCCAAGGAAAAGAACUUUAGUAAUUUAUGUUCAUAAGUAUUACAUUUACUAAGUAUAAGUUUAUAAAUCAAAACUCAUUGUGUGAUAGUUUUUGUAUUUUUGUAAGAAUGUACUGAGAAAGGAAGA